CCUACGGGAGGCAGCAGUGGGGAAUAUUGGACAAUGGGGGGAACCCUGAUCCAGCCAUGCCGCGUGUGUUAAGAAGGCCCUCGGGUUGUAAAGCACUUUCAGUGAGGAAGAACGCCUGGUGGUUAAUACCCAUCAGGAAAGACAUCACUCACAGAAGAAGCACCGGCUAACUCCGUGCCAGCAGCCGCGGUAAUACGGAGGGUGCGAGCGUUAAUCGGAAUUACUGGGCGUAAAGCGCGCGUAGGUGGCUUGAUAAGCCGGUUGUGAAAGCCCCGGGCUCAACCUGGGAACGGCAUCCGGAACUGUCAAGCUAGAGUGCAGGAGAGGAAGGUAGAAUUCCCGGUGUAGCGGUGAAAUGCGUAGAGAUCGGGAGGAAUACCAGUGGCGAAGGCGGCCUUCUGGACUGACACUGACACUGAGGUGCGAAAGCGUGGGUAGCAAACAGGAUUAGAUACCCCAGUAGUC
rnacentral:rRNA from 1 species